UUUUGGAAGCCAAUUAAUUAAUUGAUGCACAUUGGGAAGCAUAUGGGGUUUCAUGGAGAUUAAUAAAGACUUUGGGAAUAAGCAUGUAUAAAAUGUUAGAUUAAUUUUAUAUUAAUCUAAUAUAUUUGGGGCCACACAUGAAAUAAAUAAAAUAUGUGUGCUAUUAUUUAAUAAACCAAGAAUUAAGUGAUCUAUUUGAUGUUAAUUAAAUGGUUAAGGGUAUAAUUAUUGUGGAUUAAAUGCAUAGAUAUCAGAAUUUAAUCAUCACUUUAAUGAGGGGCUGAAAUGAUAAUUAUCAUAAAUAACGUGACUGUUGGUUUUCUAAAGAAAACCAAUAGUCACUUUAUUUAUAUAAAAAAGGGGUUAUGAUCCCCAAUCUCUCAUCAUCCUCUGUAAUUCUCUAAUCCUCUCAGAGAGAAUUCUAAACUCGAGAAAAGAGAAGAUUGGAAGUCCAUCUCCUACACUCAAGAACCACUAUGAAUCAUCAUGGAUUCAGGUAUGCUUCUGCUUUCGUAUUUCUUAGUAAUUUAAUCUGGAUGUUAUGAAGAUUUAGGGGAUAACAAGUUGUAUCAGAGCCUCAUCCAUGAUUAGAUUAUUGAGUUAUUAAUUUCUGAUUAAUGGUUAUAAUCGAAUCAAACUGUUAAUGCAUGAUUCGGUUAUCGGGAAUAAUUAAAAUUAGUUUCGAUGGACUCAUGACGAAACGAAACUGGUAGAUUGAACACGUGAAAUCAUGGAUUCAAUUUCAAAAUCAUGCUUUGAUUCUCAGUUACGGUGGCCAUUAUUUUUAAUGUUUCAAUUUCAUUUUUUUUUUAGUUGCAUUGGAAUUUGAUUUUAGUUGGAAUGACCAUGCUUUAUGAUCUCGAUUGGUUAUGUUUUCAAUAAUUCGCUUUAAGUAUGUAGUGGCUUUACUUCCAUGGUUUCAAUUUUAAUGAUAUUAUUUAAUUAAUAUCAUUUUUCUUGGAAUUUUCUAAUUGUUAUGGUUAGACCACGUUUCGGUUUCGGUUCAAUAAGAUAUUAUAUUAGACCAAUUUAACAAUUUAAUUACAGUAGCCAACUAGCCAUGUUUGAUUGUUUCGGCUUAAUUAAUGAUAAUAUGUCCGUUAUUUUGGCCGUUUCUCCUUGUUUUAGUUUCAAUUUUAAUAUUGUUGAAUUCAACUUCAAUUGUAUUAAAAUUGUCAGUGGCCAUUUUGUGGCAUAUUUUUAAUUUGAUUUAAUACAUAAAGGGAUUAAAUCAAAUAGAUCAAAUCUGCUGUGGCCAUAUUUUCGACUUCAAAUUUCAAUAUUUAAUUCAAAUGAUUUACUUUGAAGUUUGUAUUAGCCACGGUUUUGGUUUUAUUAAUUAUUUCGGUUUUGGUUUUAUAAUCUUUAAAUUAAAAUGAUUUAUAACAUAAGUUAAUUAUUGGUCUCACAUUGAUGACAUGCUAAUUAAAGCAGAAAGUCACCAAGGUGAUAUCUCUUGUGUAGAUUAGUUUAUUUGGGGAGUUAAAUGUUUGUGUUUGUGUAAUUCCUGCGGAUGUUAAUCGACCCAAAGGAAGGUUAAUAUUUGGCCUAAUUGCACACACACUUGUGAUGGUAAAUUUGUGACGAUUAUUAAGAUAACUUAAUAUGAAUAAUGUACUAAUCCAAAGAUAGGUUCAUUACUUGACAUAAUUUAUUGUCAAAAUUUUAUCAUUGCAACAAGAGUACCAUUUACAGUUAGUAUUAUAGUCCAAAGACUUGUUUCUAAUGUUAUGCUAUGUAUCUUGAAUUGUUAUAAUUUGCUUUUAAAUUUUUAAAGAUUAUUAAUUGAGUUGUUUAAUGUGACCAUUAUUUAUUUAUUUAUAUUUAUUUAUUUUUGUUCUCUAUUCAACUUUUCUGUCUGCUACUUCUAUAUCUACAAAUAUGAAUAGUGUCCUGAUUCUAAAUAGGACUAAUUUUAAGGACGGAAAAGAGAAUAUGAUGAUUCUCUUAGGCUGCAUGGAUCUAGACUUAUCAUUCAGACACCCGAUCCCAGACGAACUCACUGAUGAUAGAACAUUUGAGGAGGUGUAGUACUAUGAGAAGUGGGAUCGAUCUAACAGGAUGAGUCUUAUGAUCAUGAAGCGCGGUAUUCCAGAACUAUUUAGGAGUGCUAUAACUGAUAAGGUUACAAGUGCUAGUGAGUUUCUAACCAAAAUUCAGAAACGUUUUACAAAAAAUGAUAAGGCUGAAACUAGUACGCAUUUAACAAGCUUGAUUUCAAUAAAGUAUAAAGGCAAGGGAAAUGUUCGAGAGUACAUCAUGGAGAUGUCUCAUUUUGCUUCUAAGCUUAAGGCAUUAGGGCUCGACCUAUUUGAUGAUUUGGUUGUGCAUUUGGUCCUUAUCUCUUUGCUAGCACAAUUUAAUCAGUUUAAAGUCAGUUACAACUGUCAGAAAGAGAAGUGGAAUCUCAAUGAACUGAUUUUCUUUUGCUUGCAAGAAGAAGAGAGACUGAAGCAAGAGCAAACCGAAUAUGCACAUGUGGUAAGCACUUCUAAAGAUAAGGGCAAAAGAAAGAAAAAGGGUGAAGCUGUUGCUUCUAAGGGUCCAGAGCCAAAGAAACCAAAGGCCGAACAUGGCUGAUUCAUGAAAAAUCACAGUCUUUGGAUGUGUUCAAAACGUUUAAAGCCGAAGUUGAAUUACAACUCAAUAAAAGGAUUAAAAAUGUCAGGUCUGAUCGUGGUGGUGAAUACUACGGUAGAUAUGAUGGUUCAGGUGAACAACGUCCAGGACCGUUUACUAAAUACCUCGAGGAAUGUGAAAUUAUCCCUCAAUAUACUAUGCUAGGAUCACCUAUCAUGAAUGGUGUAUCUGAGAGACGAAACCGCACCCUUAAAGAUAUGGUAAGGAGUAUGACCAGUCAUUCUACUUUACCAGAAUCACUCUGGGGUGAAGCAUUAAAAACAGCAGCUUAUAUCCUAAAUCGAGUGCCAACUAAAGCGGCUGCUAAAACACCUUAUAAGCUUUGGACGGGUCGAAAGCCUAGUCUAAAGCAUUUACAUAUUUGGGGAUGUCCAGCUGAAGCGAGGCCUUAUAAACCUCAUGAAAGGAAAUUGGAUUCCAAAACUGUAAGCAACUACUUUGUUGGCUAUGCAGAGCGAUCAAGGGGUUUUAAGUUUUAUGAUCCCAGUACAAGGUCAAUUUUUGAGACGGGAACUACUACAUUGUUUGAGGAUGUUGAGUUUGGGGGGAUAAAUCUAGUAAGAAACAUUGUCUUUAAAGAGGAAGAGGGAUCAACUGUUGCUUUUGACAAUGUACAAGUUUUAAUACUUGUCAUUGAUCAUGAAGUAAAUUCGGAUCCUCAACCAUCUGACAAUGUUGUUCAACCCCAAAAUCAACAUGAGAUGAUUGUUCCUGAAGAACAAACUCAACAACCUCAAGAGCCUGUGCAAUUAAGAUGAUCCACAAGAGAAAUGAGAAAUGUUAUUCCAGAUGAUUAUAUAGUAUUUCUUCAAGAACAUGAAGAUGAAACUGGAGUGAUGGAAGAUGACCCAAUCAACUUUCAUCAAGCCAUGCAAAGCUCUAAUUCUCAUAAAUGGAUCGAAGCCAUGAAUGAAGUGCACAAGUCAAUACAAGACAGUAAAGUUUGGGAACUUAUCUCAUUACCUUUCGGUGCGAAGCCCAUUGGUUGUAAAUAAAUAUUUAAAAUCAAAAGGGAUUCAAAUGGUAAUGUGGAAAUGUAUAAAGCACGUCUUGUAGCUAAAAGCUUUACUCAAAAAGGAAGGAAUUGACUAUAAAGAGACUAUCUCCGGUUUCUACGAAAGACUCUUUUAGGAUAAUUAUGGUACUUGUUGCAUAUUUUGAUCUUGAGUUACAUCAUAUGGAUGUUAAGACUGCUUUUUUUAAUGGUGACAUUGAGGAAACAAUUUAUAUGGUACAACUAGAAAACUUUGUGUUGGGAGACUUAAAGAAAAUGGUUUGUAAGCUAACCAAAUUCAUCUAUGAGCUCAAACAAGCUUCUCGUUAGUGGUACUUUAAGUUUCAUCAAAUAAUUAUCUUAUAUGAUUUUGAGGCAAAUGUUAUUGAUGAAUGUGUGUAUCACAAGUUCAGUGGGAGUAAACAUAUAUUCCUGGUUUUAUAUGAUGAUGACAUAUUACUUGCCUCAAAUUAUAUAGGCAUAUUGCAUGACACCAAGAGUUUUCUAUCAAAAUAUUUUGAGAUGAAAGAUCUUGGUGAUGCUAUAAUUGGCAUGUUGGGCAGAUAUUUGAGCAAUCCCGGGAUGGAUCAUUAGAAAGCAGCUAAACGUGUUAUGAGGUACUUACAGAGAACAAAGGAAUACAUGCUCACAUAUAGGAGGUCGGAUCAGUUAGAGAUCAUUGGGUAUUCCGACUCUGAUUUUGCUAGAUGCCAACACAACAAAAGAUCCACAUCAGGCUAUAUUUACCUGUUGACUGGUGGAGCAAUUUCUUAGAGAUCUGCCAAGCAGACACUUGUAGCUUCAUCGACUAUGGCAACAAAGUUUGUAGCAUGUUAUGAGGCAUCCAAUCAAGGAAUAUGGUUGCGUAAUUUUGUCACUGGGUUGCGUAUUUUAGAGGGUGUAGAAAGACCGCUCAAGAUAUUUUGUGACAAUAAGUCAGCAGUUCUAUAUUCCAACAACAACAUGAGCUUUACAAAGUCAAAAUACAUUGAAAUCAAGUUCCUUGUUGUGAAGGAAAGAGUGCAGAGUGGACAAAUAUCUAUAGAGCACAUUCGGACAAACUCCUUGAUAGCGGAUCCGCUCACUAUAGGAUUACCACCUAAAGUCUUUUAUGAGCACACUGCUCGUAUGGGUGUGAUUUUACUUAAGGAUAUUUAGAUUUAGUGGGAGUUUGUAUUGUAUAAUUACUAAGUGUGACUUUUAGAUUUUAAUUAUAUUAUUCGGAUUAUUUUUUGCAGAUAUAAAGUAUUUUAGUUCCUUACACUCUGUUAGACUAACUUAAGUUUAGAUCUCAAUAAAGUAAAUUAGGGCCAGUUGGGAAUAGACAUGUUUAGAUUACAUUGCAUGUAAUUUCCAUGCUAUGCAUCCAUAAUUGAUCUAUGUCAUGUAACUAUAUUGAUAUAUGUGACCAUGGAUGGUUGCGUUACGAUUAAUGUAAUAAAGGCCGCUAUGAUCCUAUAUUGAUGUGGUUAUUGAAUUAGAUUGUUUAGAUAUACUCUAAGGACAUAAUAGCAAUUUUAUGAGCUCGUUAAGUUAAACACAUUUCAGUUUUCAUUUGUGGCCCAGUGGGAGAUUGUUAGAUUAAUUUUAUAUUAAUCUAAUAUUUUUGGGGCCACACAUGAAAUAAAUAAAAUAUGUGUGCUAUUAUUUAAUAAACCAAGAAUUAAGUGAUCUAUUUGAAGUUAAUUAAAUGGUUAAGGGUAUAAUUGUUUUGGAUUAAAUGCAUAGAUACCAGAAUUUAAUCAUCACUUUAAUGAGGGGCUAAAGUGAUAAUUAUCAUAAAUAACGUGACUGUUGGUUUUCUAAAGAAAACCAACAGUCACAUUAUUUAUAUAAAAAGGGGUUAUGGUCCCUAAUCUCUCAUCAUCCUCUGUAAUUCUCUAAUCCUCUCAAAGAGAAUUCUAAACUCAAGAGAAAAGAGAAGAUUGGAAGUCCAUCUCCUACACUUAAGAACCACUAUGAAUCAUCAUGGAUUCAGGUAUGCUUUCGCUUUCGUAUUUCUCAGUAAUUUAAUCUGGAUGUUAUGAUGAUUUAAGGGAUAACAUAAAAUGGAAACUUGUUUAAUGUGCAUGGUUUUAUAAGUUGCAUGCAAGAUUCACGUUACCCAUUUAAAAAGAUUUCAUGCAAAAGGCUUGCCUAAACUAAAUCGUACAUGCAUGGCAUUAUAUAUGGAAAGCAAAUUGAAGAAAAAUGAAAUUGUCAAAGUGGACGACAUGUUCAUGGCAAUUAAGGGAAGCAAAUCAAUUGCUUUAAAUUAUAAAUAAAAUCCAAUAAGAAUUCAGCCAAUCAUAUGCAUUAUAAAAAGCCAAACCUUUUGUCUUUUGACAAGAGGACAGUCGGUAGCCAAGAGGAAUUUAAGAGAAGAAAAUAAAUUUGUCUGAGCAAUGAUAAGAAUUUGAUUGAAAAUGAAUAUGGUUCUUAGAAAUGGUUGAAUAUUAUCUUAGUUUAUACUUUAUUCUUAUAUUAAUUUCCUCUCAAUUGAGAUUUUUUAAACCAUAAGCACUAAUAUCAAUUCUUUCAUAAUUUUGACUUAAACUUUGAGAUUGAUACAGUCUGAGUUGAGAAUUUUAGAUUGGGUAAAUGACUAUUUGUCUUUAUUCUUAUCUCCACAAUACAGUGUAGUAUGCACAGGCACCAUAGUAAAAAAUAAUUAUCUAUAUAUAACUCUUAAUAAUGAAACUAUCCUUUAGUAAUUUGGGCUUAUGUACCACCAGUAUGUAGAGGAUAAUCUACAAUGAGAAGAAGACUACCUUAAGGGGUAGAGUGAAAGCUCCUGACUAUGGACAUAAAAAAAAAAUCGAAAGAAAAUGCACACAAAUGCUUGUGAGAGAAAAAAAAAAUAGAGAUCAAGAUGAUAAAAUUAGUUUGACCUUGUCAUGACCCAACCUAGACCUGGCAAGAUAUUGUCCGCUUUGGAGUUUAACAAGGCCUACAUGAGUUUAUUUUUGGAGUGCCCAUACAUAAAAAAACACGUCUUUCCAAUUAAGGUGUGGAUCACCCCUUAUAAACCCAGAAUCUCUCCCGUGCUAUGCCAAUGUGAGAUUUUCCUAGAGUGUUACAUACACCCCCUUAGGGACUCAGCAUUCUCGCUGAAGUUUGCCCCACCAUCGCUCGAGAGGACACGCGAAACUGCUCUGAUAUCAUAAUGUCAUGACUCAACCUAGACCUAGCAAGAUAUUGUCUUUUUUUAGCCUUAAUAAGGCCCGCACAUGUUUGAUUAUGAGAUGCCCAUACACCACAAAACACGUUUUGCCAAUUAAGGUGUGGAUAACCUCUUAUAACCUCAAUAUCUCUCCCGUGCUUUGCCAAUGUGAGAUUCGCUUAAGGUGUUACAUACAAGAGGUAAGUAACACUUUAAUUGUAAUGUAAGGACAAAAUUCCUUUCAUAAUUAACUUCAAUUUUAGCAAUUCCUUUAUCUUGUGAUGGCUACUAUGAUCUGAUUAGUUAUAAUCUAAAUUUUUAUAUGGUCGGUUAUACCACCUAAUAUAUGAUACUUUACUUAAUUAUGCUAUAGUCGACUCUACCGCCUAAUAUGUGAUACCUUACUUAAUUAUGUUGUGGUCGGUUCUACGUGUCCUCUUGAGCGAUAGUAGAACAAACCUCAUUGAGGAGACUGAGUCCCUAAGGGGGGCGUAUGUAACAACCUAGGCAAAUCCCACAUCGACAAAUCACGGGAGAAAUGCUGGGUUCAUAGAGGGUGAUCCACACCUUAAUUGGCAAGACGCAUUUUGGGGUGCCCCAUAAACAAACCCGUGCGGGCUUUUUUAAAAUCCAAAGCGGACAAUAUCUUGCCAGGUUUAGGUUGGGUAAUGACAGACCCACUCUUUUCUUUAUUCAAGACAAAGGCUGUUGAUAUUAAAGAUUUUGGAAAUGGAUUUUGAUUGAAUUGAUUCACUCACAUACUAUAAGAAUCAAAAGUGAUAUGGAAUUGACAACUGAAUUAAAGUUUGAACUUCAAUAAUAUUUGAAAUUUUCUUUGAGCUAUAUAACUUAUGCUAUCUUUUGAGGCUAGUUUUGUUUUAAAAUCUCUUGUUCUUUUUAUGCUAUGAAAAAAAAUGAAAUGAUGUUUGUGGGUAUCAUCGCUGAAGCCCUCAUGAGAUUAUAACUCAUCCACUAGGGCUGCCUAAUGGUUUAAAGCCUUGUUGCAUAUGCUAAAUGCAAUCAUGAUUUCUUACGAAAGUGGACUAAUUUAGACUUUCUUUCUAUUUUAUUUUUCUUCUACG
rnacentral:lncRNA from 1 species